AAUCCUCUAUUAACCCUUAUUCAGCUAAGUAAUAAGCCUUUUCUAUCACUGACAAGUAUAGAGUCAGGCCAGUCUGUAAAGCCAUGCAGUCUGACUAGGCCCUAUACUGUUGCAUGCUUAACUUCAAAUUUUCAUCUUCAUACCCAGAAAGUUUUAAAGCAUUAAAGGUGGACUAGUUCAUUGAUGGAAAUUAUCAGGUUAUAGGUUACACAAGUUUUCAUAUCAAUACACUUUUAUAAUAUACCUUAUUAUGAACUUAUUAUGGAAUAUUAGUAAUAUUAGCAUAAAGUUCACAUUCUUGUUUUCAUGCUUGGAAUAAUAACUUUUUUUCUUUGCAGAUUGUUGAGAAGUUGUUGACAUUGUUAUUUCUGUUAAUGAUACAAUUUACUGGAUAUGAAUAUAUAUAUACAACCAUGUUGUCAAAUAAUGAUCAUCUGAUCUAUCAGCCUGAUCAUGUGACCUUUGAUAUAAUCAUGUGACCAUUAAUCUGAUCAUGUGACAUAUAAACAUAAUCAUGUGACAUAUCAUCUGGAUUGGAUGACCAGUCAUUCUGUAUGAGCUACACGGAAAUGUUUUGAGCUGUUAUCAAUAAUUUUGAUAAAAAGAUCACUACGCUUGUACAUGUAGGUAUUUGAUCACCAUUUAAAAACUAUUUCAUGUGGGAUCCAUAAGCGUAAUAAAUUUAUUUCAUGCCUGAAUAAUUUUAGUUCUGUAGUAAAAGUCAUAUAGAUAUCCUCAGUUUUUUAUUAGGACAUUUGCUUAAUGUAUGUUUAGCAUUUAUUAUUGUAUAUUAGUUAUUUUACUGUUACCUUAUUGUUAAACAGGUAUUUGUUUUCAAUUUGUUCAACACAUACAUUAACCAUAUAUGACAGUCAGUUAUUUAUUUACUAGUAAUUAUAUUUGUAUUUUAAGACAGAUAGUUAAAUAGGAAGUUUUUAAUUGUAAACUUACGUCGUGCAAGUAGUUAACCCUCGGAGGUCAAACAUCAAUUACAUAUAGCAUGCAUAUGCUACCAUUGUCAAACAAGGUCCGUCUUUACAUCAUAAGCAGUAAAUGGCAAUCCUGGCCUGCCAAGUCUGUACUUCAAUAAGUCUUGACUGGGCUUUAUAUAUGAUUUUGUCCAUAUCGUUUUAUUUGAAAUUGUUGGUUUUUGAGACCCUACAAGUUAACAUUGUUAGUUUUAGAUUAAGGGUGAAAAAAUUCCUUUAAAACGAAAAAAGUGAGGACAUCAAUAUAGGUUUACUUGAACUGUUUGAAAACAGUGUAAAGUGAGGACAUUAAUAAUGUGAAGUGAGGACAUUAGUAUAGGUUUACUUGAAUCAUAAGAAACCAAUGUUAAAUUUGGGCCUUAAUGCAGGUUUUCUUGAAACCCAUGUAAAGUGAGGACAUUAAUAAUGUAAAGUGAGGACAGUAAUAUAGGAAUACUUGAAUCAUAAGAAACAAAUGUUAAGUAAAGAUGUUGACAUAGGAUUACUUGAAAUUUGAGAAUUGUUGUCCAAUGUGUUAGCAAUCAUUAUGUGAUCCUUUGUCUUCUCAUCAUCAUCAUUUUAUAUCAACCAUACAUUAAACAACCAUUAUUUUUGUGUUCAACACCAAUCAUUGGUGUAUUUUUUUGUACUGCCAGUUGUGUAUAUUUAUACUGUAAAGCUGUCCAAACAUUUCCAUGUUGGGUCAAUAUUAUGAUAAAAUAAAUUUGAAGUGUUUCCAAGUACCCGCCACAAGUUGAGGAAGGGAUAUUUUUAACUCUUAAAAAAUAUUUUCAUUACCUGCAAAGUUCUAAGAAAUUUAUCAUAUAUCUCACUUGGAAGGGUAUAAAACAAUACCAAGACAAACACUGAUUUUAUAUCUUGUAUCAAAUACUAAUGGAAACAUUGCUAACAUCUGUUACUUUUGUUGUUGAUCUCUUCAUAUUAUGACCAUUCCUGUAAAAAUAAAUUGGAUGAUCUUUUUGUAUAUCAUUAUCCAAAGAAUUCUGUCCAAACAAAAGUUUUGAAGAGUCCUAUUUACAUGUAUAUGUAUUUAACUUCAAUAAUAAUGAUUGUAAUAAUUGAGCGAACUUGAUAAGUAAAACUUAAUUUAUGCGUUACUUUAAUAUUAGACUUAUUUUACAAAAAUUAAAGACUGUUGCACUUACACUGAAGGUUGGUCUUGGCUUCUACAAGAAAAUGACUUGAUUUCAAAUAGAGAUUAUUGCAGCAUUUUACCAAGUUCUUACUGGAAAUACAUGUAUACUAUUCUAUUUUUUUCAUAGUUUAGGAAUUGUAAAUUAAGGAGCUUCACAAUAAUUGUUAAUACAUAUUUAUUCAUUUUCUUGUUUUUGAUGAUUAUGUCAUAAAUUUUGUAUUUGUUUUUUGUUAGCACUAGUAGAUAAAGUAGAGCUUGUACAAAUGUAAGAGCGUUCGGCACAAUGCUGCUGUAACGUCUUCAAGUUGCUCAUUUGAGUCGCGUCACGACAAAACCAACAUAGUGCGUUUUCGACCAGCAUGGAUCCAGACCAGCCUGGGCAUCUGCGCAGUCUGAUCAGGAUCCAUGCUGUUCGCUUUCAGUUUCUCUACUUGUAAUAGGGUUUGUAAGCAAACAGCAUGGAUCCUGAUCAGACUGCGCGGAUGCGCAGGCUGGUCUGGAUCCAUGCUGUUCGCAAACCCAUUAUGUUGGUUUUGUCGUGACGUGGCUCAUUUAUGCUAAGUGUUGUAUGCUAACUCAGCAUUGUACGCUAAGUAACAAGUUUUGUGGUGAACGCUCAGUAUGUUUAACAGGCAGUUUAGUUAAUGUUGUACCUUGUACUUGAUACACAGUGUAGUUAAGUUUUAUUAAACUCAAAAGGCUCUCCACAAUAAAUGCUUUUCAUUAUUACAAGUAAAGAUGCAUUUGUCUUAGCAUAUUCUGUCCUUAGAAAGAAAUAACAUGAAGUUAAAACAUAUAUUUAUAACCAAUAUAACCAUCAGAUAUUUUAAAUCAGCUAGUUUCUUGCUAAAAAGAUUUUUGUUUUGUUUUGUAAUUAGUGAUAAUUUAUUAAUUAAAUUUUUGUUUUGCAAAUGAAUGUAAAAGGAUUCAUUUUGGUAUUUUUCUAAAAAGAAACAAUUGCAGGAAGUCUUAAUUUCCUUAUAUAUUUACCAGUAGUUAUUUUGGAAUUAUUUAAAGAGAAUUUUGACAGUAAAUUUAUCAAUGUAUUUCAUUAAAAAAAUAUAUUUCAAUGGUAUCUUUUUAAAUGUUUUACGGGAAGAUAACUAAAAUUCUUCAUUAGGGUUUAUAUUUUUCCUCACACAAGAUUUUGAAUUUCUCAGCAACAAUUUUGGUUCCUCUAGUUGCUAGCGGUGAUUAUGUCAUGUGACCAGUGCUAUCACCACAGAGCGUGGCCAGUUCAACACACAUCUCUGUACUCUGACUGGACUCUACUGUUGACUGCUCAAUUUUAAUACAUUGAUAAAGGUCAAGGUCAUUUGGUGAAAAAAGGUAGGUUUAAGCCAUAACCUUCUGAGUUUUUGUAACAGAUUUGCCCUGGUUUGAAUUAAGAACUGUCCGGUUAAGAAUUUAAAGGAUUUCAAUAUCAAAAUACAAAAAUUGAGCUACCAACAGUAUAGAGCCCGGUCAGACUGCAUGGACGUGAAGGCUAGCCUGGUUGUAGACUGGUGACACAGUCUAAUCACUUGAUAUUUUCUGUACUCAGUAGGUUCAAGGGGUAACAAAAUUUUGCUUCAUUUGAUUAAGGAAUAAUAUUUCAAAUUUUUAGCUUCAUUCAGGAAUAAUAUUUCAAUUUUUCUAUGCACCUUUAAUUAGAAUUUAUGUAUUUUUAGUUUGGAAGACCACACAAACACUGAUCUUGGAUUAAGAAUUCUGUAACAAAUCUGUGAUGUUGAAGGACAUCAAAUUUAUUAUUUGUUGAAUAAAUGAUAUAUGACAUGA